rnacentral:rRNA from 1 species
UCCGUAGGGGGCAAUCGUUACUCGGAAUUACUGGGCGUAAAGGGUGAGUAGGCGGCUGAGCAAGUCAAGGAUGAAAGCCCGAGGCUCAACUUCGGAAUUGUCCUUGAAACUGCUCAGCUUGAGGGUAGUUGAGGAGAGUGGAAUUCCCGGUGGAGCGGUGAAAUGCGUAGAUAUCGGGAGGAAUACCUGAGGCGAAGGCGGCUCUCUAAGCUAUUCCUGACGCUGAAUCACGAAAGCUAGGGGAUCAAACGGG